UACGUAGGUGACAAGCGUUGUCCGGAUUUACUGGGCGUAAAGAGCGCGCAGGCGGUCGUUCAAGUCGAGUGUGAAAGCCCCCGGCUCAACUGGGGAGGGUCAUGCGAUACUGAUCGACUCGAAGGCAGGAGAGGGUAGUGGAAUUCCCGGUGUAGUGGUGAAAUGCGUAGAUAUCGGGAGGAACACCAGUGGCGAAGGCGACUACCUGGCCUGUUCUUGACGCUGAGGCGCGAAAGCUAGGGGAGCAAACGGG
rnacentral:rRNA from 1 species